GAUGAACGCUGGCGGCGUGCCUAAUACAUGCAAGUCGAGCGAAGCGGGGACGGGUGAGUAACACGUGGAUAACCUCCUAUAAGACUGGGAUAACUUCGGGAAACCGGAGCUAAACCGGAAAAUUAUAGAUGGAUCCGCGCUGCAUUAGCUAGUUGGUAAGGUAAUGGCUUACCAAGGCAACGAUGCAUAGCCGGCCUGAGAGGUGGAGCAGCCACACUGGAACUGAGACACGGUCCAGACUCCUACGGGAGGCAGCAGUAGGGAAUCUUCCGCAAUGGGCGAAAGCCUGACGGAGCAACGCUGCGUGAGUGAUGAAGGUCUUCGGAUCGUAAAGCUCUGUUAUUAGGGAAGCGUUACCUAAUCAGAAAGCCACGGCUAACUCCGUGCCAGCAGCCGCGGUAAUUC
rnacentral:rRNA from 1 species